UAAAUACUCCCUCCGUCCAAAAUUACUUGUCCUAAAAAUGAAUAAAAUAGAUGUAUCUAUAACUAAAAUAAGUCUAGAUACAUUCAUUUGUAGGACAAGUAUUUCCGGACGGAGGGAGUAUAUG
rnacentral:pre_miRNA from 1 species